rnacentral:rRNA from 1 species
AUUGAACGCUGGCGGCGUGCCUUACACAUGCAAGUCGAACGGCAGCACGGGAGCAAUCCUGGUGGCGAGUGGCGAACGGGUGAGUAAAGUAUCGGAACGUGCCCAGUCGUGGGGGAUAACGUAGCGAAAGUUACGCUAAUACCGCAUACGAUCUAUGGAUGAAAGCGGGGGAUCGCAAGACCUCGCGCGAUUGCAGCGGCCGAUAUCAGAGUAGGUAGUUGGUGGGGUAAAGGCUCGCCAAGCCGACGAUCUGUAGCUGGUCUGAGAGGACGACCAGCCACACUGGGACUGAGACACGGCCCAGACUCCUACGGGAGGCAGCAGUGGGGAAUUUUGGACAAUGGGCGAAAGCCUGAUCCAGCCAUGCCGCGUGCAGGAUGAAGGCCUUCGGGUUGUAAACUGCUUUUGUACGGAACGAAAAGGUUUGGCCUAAUAAGCUGAGUUCAUGACGGUACCGUAAGAAUAAGCACCGGCUAACUACGUGCCAGCAGCCGCAGUAA